rnacentral:rRNA from 1 species
CAGUAGCCACGGUAAUACAGAGGGUGCGAGCGUUAAUCGGAUUUACUGGGCGUAAAGCGUGCGUAGGCGGCUUCUUAAGUCGGAUGUGAAAUCCCUGAGCUUAACUUAGGAAUUGCAUUCGAUACUGGGAAGCUAGAGUAUGGGAGAGGAUGGUAGAAUUCCAGGUGUAGCGGUGAAAUGCGUAGAGAUCUGGAGGAAUACCGAUGGCGAAGGCAGCCAUCUGGCCUAAUACUGACGCUGAGGUGCGAAAGCGUGGGGAGCAAACAGGAUUAGAUACCCGCGUAGUCCCUGUCUCUUAUAC